UACGUAGGUGGCAAGCGUUGUCCGGAAUUAUUGGGCGUAAAGCGCGCGCAGGCGGUCCUUUAAGUCCGCUCUGAAAGCCCGGGGCUCAACCCCGGGAGGCGGGUGGAUACUGCUGAGCUCGAGUCCGGAAGAGGAGUGUGGAAUUCCUGGUGUAGCGGGUGAAAUGCGCAGAUAUCAGGAGGAACACCAAUGGCGAAGGCAG
rnacentral:rRNA from 1 species